GACGAACGCUGGCGGCGUGCUUAACACAUGCAAGUCGAACGGAAAGGCCCUGCUUUUGUGGGGUGCUCGAGUGGCGAACGGGUGAGUAACACGUGAGUAACCUGCCCUUGACUUUGGGAUAACUUCAGGAAACUUGUGCUAAUACCGGAUAGGAGCUCCUGCUGCAUUGUGGGGGUUGGAUAGUUUCGGCGGUUGGGGAUGGACUCGCGGCUUAUCAGCUUGUUGGUGGGGUAGUGGCUUACCAAGGCUUUGACGGGUAGCCGGCCUGAGAGGGUGACCGGCGACAAUGGGACUGAGAUACGGCCCAGACUCCUACGGGAGGCAGCAGUGGGGAAUAUUGCACAAUGGGAGGAAGCCUGAUGAAGAAACGCAGCGUGCGGGAUGACGGCCUUCGGGUUGUAAACAGAUUUAGACUGAGACGAAGCGUGAGUGACGGUAAUGGGUAAAGAAGCACCGGCUAACUACGUG
rnacentral:rRNA from 1 species